AACGAACGCUGGCGGCAUGCCUAACACAUGCAAGUCGAACGAGACCUUCGGGUCUAGUGGCGCACGGGUGCGUAACGCGUGGGAACCUGCCCUUAGGUUCGGAAUAACUCCCCGAAAGGGGUGCUAAUACCGGAUAAUGUCUUCGGACCAAAGAUUUAUCGCCUUUGGAUGGGCCCGCGUUGGAUUAGCUAGUUGGUAGGGUAAAAGCCUACCAAGGCGACGAUCCAUAGCUGGUCUGAGAGGACGAUCAGCCACACUGGGACUGAGACACGGCCCAGACUCCUACGGGAGGCAGCAGUGGGGAAUAUUGGACAAUGGGCGAAAGCCUGAUCCAGCAAUGCCGCGUGAGUGAUGAAGGCCUUAGGGUUGUAAAGCUCUUUUACCCGGGUUGAUAAUGACAGUACCGGGAGAAUAAGCUCCGGCUAACUCCGUG
rnacentral:rRNA from 1 species